GAUGAACGCUGGCGGCGUGCCUAAUACAUGCAAGUCGAGCGAACAGACGAGGAGCUUGCUCCUCUGACGUUAGCGGCGGACGGGUGAGUAACACGUGGAUAACCUACCUAUAAGACUGGGAUAACUUCGGGAAACCGGAGCUAAUACCGGAUAAUAUAUUGAACCACAUGGUUCAAUAGUGAAAGACGGUUUUGCUGUCACUUAUAGAUGGAUCCGCGCCGCAUUAGCUAGUUGGUAAGGUAACGGCUUACCAAGGCAACGAUGCGUAGCCGACCUGAGAGGGUGAUCGGCCACACUGGAACUGAGACACGGUCCAGACUCCUACGGGAGGCAGCAGUAGGGAAUCUUCCGCAAUGGGCGAAAGCUUGACGGAGCAACGCCGCGUGAGUGAUGAAGGUCUUCGGAUCGUAAAACUCUGUUAUUAGGGAAGAACAAAUGUGUAAGUAACUAUGCACGUCUUGACGGUACCUAAUCAGAAAGCCACGGCUAACUGCGUG
rnacentral:rRNA from 1 species